rnacentral:lncRNA from 1 species
GGGGGCCAGGGGAGCCUGGGGGCCUGAGCACAGCUGGGAGGUCCAAGUCUGUGGUUUCCCCGGGGGUGAGUAUGUAAGUACCUGGGCCGGCCGUGCUGUGGGGUAGACAAGACAUGCCUGCAUGGAGACACAUCUGUGGACCUGGUGUUAUGACAGCAGGGGGCUUGUAACCAUGAGGCCAGCAGGGACAGAAAGCCCAUACCUCUAGCUCUUUGGGAGUGCUCCCUGGCUGGGACAGAGCCUGCUGGCCCCACGUGCCCCCAUCGUCCCUCCCUUCAUCUUCCUGAGAAGCAAGAAAGCCGGGCAGCCGUGCUUCUGCUGCAAGGGGAGGGGGCUGCCCAGCCAGCUGCCAUGGGAGCCUCCAGCGACUCCGCCGGGUGUCAGGGGGUGUUUAUGAGCAGCCGAAAUGGCUGUAAAAGUGGCACCUCGCUUCACUUAUGGCCUGGCCAUCCCCUCCCCUACUGGCCUCUUGCCUCAAAAAGCUUCCAGAGGGGCCUGGAAGCUGAGAGAGGUCUGGGUGGAGGCACAGCUUGGGGUCAGAGUUCAGCCAGGGGCUAGAAAUCAGAUUGGGAUAAGAACUCAGCCUGAGGCUGGGGCUCAUCAUGGAGAUAGAGCUUAGUCUGGGAUCAGGGCUAAGCUUGGAUGCAGGCUGACUUUGGGGCUAGUGUUGGGAUGAAGCAGUGGGGGAAUAUAAGGACUCAGAAAUAGAUAGAUGUGAGCCAUUAGUCCCAGAGAAUCCCUGGUCCGGGCAAGGGCAAGGGGUUUUCUGAGGGAGGGAACCAGGCUGCAUUGUUCAGAGAGCUGAGCCUCUGCCUUGCUUGUUGGUGUCUGAUGCCCACCCUGGCCCCAGGGUCUGUGUACCUUGGCCAGAGCCCUAGUCACAGUGGGAUGGCUGCAGCAGAGGCCUGUCAGCCUGGGGCUGCCACACCAGCAGGGGUGGGGCCAGAGUCCGGCCCCUACUGCAGUUCUGAGAUCCAGUGACCACCCUGGCUCCUCCUCCUAGGCCCCAGCCUGGGGAUUAGAGACAGGGACUCACUCCUACUCCCCACCUCCAGCCAGGCCUUUUCAAACGCCAGUGAAACUAACACUGACCUGACACUAACCAGAAACUGACUAACCAGGCCCCUGGGGCCUGCUUGUCAAAAAGGGCAAGCUGACUCUGCCAGGUGCUUGGGUGCUACCAGUUAAUGUGUGACACCCCCACCCUCAUGGUGGCACUUUAACCAGAGGCCUGAGGGUGAGAGAGAGGAUCUGUGGCCCCACCCACAGCUGUGGAAUGUCCAGCAGGGGACUAUGGGGUGAGGCACAUGAGUUAUGGCAAGGGGAAUGCCCUUAAGGGGCCCAGCACCCAUCAAAGAUUCCUCUCUGCAGCCCUCUCCACAGCCCACUCUGGUCCUCCCAAGUACAAACAGUAAGUUUCCAAAUCUCAAGUUUUCCCUGGUGUCAGAUCUGAAAAGAUCUCCUCCCUCAGCCUCUAGUUUUAUCUCUCAGUCCUUCCAAUCCCUCCAUUAAUGUUCUUUUCUCAUCACCAAGGGGGAAAGCAGGGUGGGAGAUCAGUGGUCACAGAACCAUAAAACUUAGAGACACAGAAACAGGCAUAGGCCAGGUGUGGUGGUUCAUGCCUGUAAUCCCAGCACUGUGGGAGGCCGAGGCAGGAGGAUUGCUUGAGACCAAGAGUUGGAGACCAGCCUAGGCAACAAAGUGAGACCUCGUCUCUACAAAAAAAAAAAAAA